rnacentral:lncRNA from 1 species
ACUUAAUUUGCUUCUCUUCCAAACAGUAAGAUUUGCUUUUGACAGCCCUAGCCGGAAUGGGCUACAAAAACCUAGCCCAGCAAAGCUAGGUGAGCUAGCAAAACACACCCUUAAUAGAAGAGAGAUGAUGAUGGUGAUCCUAAAAAGAAACAAUGUUAAGCACGUGACCCUAGAACUACGCGAAUGACUUAUAAACCGGGACGGAGGUAGUAUCAAGGUUGUCCACUAGUCCACCAUCGCGAUGGCUUACAUAUCGGCAACAAUUACUCCCGCAAAGUAACCGUACUAUAGUACGAUCUUAGAAUAAUCCACACAUCCGUGAUGCAUGUUGUUCGAGGCACGAACAUCAUCACCAAGAAGCCUAAAAAGCAGAGCAAUUAGGCUGCAAAACGACGAUACUACCUACCUUAUCCCGCGAAACCUGCUUUGGAUCCACC